rnacentral:rRNA from 1 species
CCCACUCUCCAACCCUUUGUGUACCUACCUCUGUUGCUUUGGCGGGCCGCGGUUCUCCGCGGCCGGCCCCCUGAUCGGGGCUGGCCCGCGCCCGCCAGAGGACCACAAAACUCCAGUCAGUGAACUUUGCUGUCUGAUAUAAAUUCAAUAAACUAAAACUUUCAACAACGGAUCUCUUGGUUCUGGCAUCGAUGAAGAACGCAGCGAAAUGCGAUAAGUAAUGUGAAUUGCAGAAUUCAGUGAAUCAUCGAAUCUUUGAACGCACAUUGCGCCCUUUGGUAUUCCGAAGGGCAUGCCUGUUCGAGCGUCAUUACACCCCUCAAGCUCUGCUUGGUGUUGGGCAGCGUCCUCUCGGACGCGCCUCAAAGACCUCGGCGGUGGCGUCUUGCCUCAAGCGUAGUAGAAAACACCUCGCUUUGGAGGACGGGACGACCGCUCGCCGGACGAACCUUUGAAUUCAUUUUCCUAGGUUGACCUCGGAUCAGGUAGGGAUACCCGCUGAACUUAAGCAUAUCAAUAAGCGGAAGA